rnacentral:rRNA from 1 species
GGCAGUCGACUAGAGUUUGAUCCUGGCUCAGGAUGAACGCUAGCGGCAGGCCUAAUACAUGCAAGUCGUACGGUAGACGAUCUUUCGGGAUUGUUGAGAGUGGCGCACGGGUGCGUAACGCGUAUGCAACCUACCUUAUACUGAGGGAUAGCCCGGGGAAACCCGGAUUAAUACCUCAUGGUACGAAGACAUGGCAUCAUGUUUUUGUUAAAGAUUUAUCGGUAUAAGAUGGGCAUGCGUAGGAUUAGCUAGUUGGUAGGGUAACGGCCUACCAAGGCGACGAUCCUUAGGGGUUCUGAGAGGAAGGUCCCCCACACUGGCACUGAGAUACGGGCCAGACUCCUACGGGAGGCAGCAGUAGGGAAUAUUGGGCAAUGGUCGGAAGACUGACCCAGCCAUGCCGCGUGCAGGAAGAAGGCGUUAUGCGUUGUAAACUGCUUUUAUCUGGGAAGAAAAAGCCCCUGCGGGGGAAAUUGCCGGUACCAGAUGAAUAAGCACCGGCUAACUCC